rnacentral:lncRNA from 1 species
GAACAUCAAAUCAAAAUUCUCCAUUACAAAAGCUGAACUCCAUGUCUAUAUGCCAUAAUUUUUCAAGCAGAGUUCCUCUUAGACAUUUUUUAGUUCUCCCCGUCCGAAGCAGAGUUUUGGCUAUUCAUUGGACCUGAUUGAUCCAUAGGUCCUCCCUGGCCUUGGUUCCAGUUCUGUCUUUGGUUAUUCAUUGGACCUGAUUGAUCCAUAGGUCCUCCCUGGCCUUGGUUCCAGUUCUGUCUUUGGCUAUUCAUUGGAGCUGAUUGAUCCAUAGGUCCUCCCUGGCCUUGGUUCCAGUUCUGUCUUUGAUUGGGGUCUGUCCUUUCAACCUGCAUUGUUUCCCGUCUCCUGUCAUGCCUAGGUCGAGGUCUAGUCUUAGUAGGUUGCCUUUCAGCAUAUCUAUACUGCGGCCUGGGGAUUACU